CCCGACAUAGUUUUGACAUAGGUUUUCGUGUGACAUAGCUUGACCGAUCAACUUCUCAACUUGAAGCUUAACAGAGAGACCAUGAUCAACUUCACGGGAAUCUCCAGAUAUUAAGGUGCUGUGGUCUACUGCGUGCUGAACCGAAGCAGUCGACAUAGAAGAACAAGUGGGGAAAUCCCGUCCGGUCAGUUUAUUACUCAUUCGAGC
rnacentral:misc_RNA from 1 species